GGGUCCAUUGAUCUCGGAUUCCUCGAACAUCCAUCGCUGCUCUCUGGGGACGAACGCAAGCCUCUGCUGCUGCUCCUGCUGUUGGCAGUGGGUACGAAGGUAACGCCUCGAAGGGAGGGAAGCGACCCCAAGCGAGGGUUUGGCGACGGCGGCCGGGAAUUUCGAGAAACCGACUAAGAAGGUUCUGCGGAGGGCGGUGGCGGGGCAGGGGCAAGAGGAGGACGAGGCGCGGUUGUUCGGAAAGCGGCCGACCGAGAGGGACGCGGAGGCCGGGAUCGUCGCUGCCAUUGCUGCAGGCCAAUUGGUGGAAGAAACGGGAACUCUGCAGUG
rnacentral:lncRNA from 1 species